rnacentral:rRNA from 1 species
AAACAUUUCUGGGAGGAAAAUAUUUUUGGUAUAACCUGCUCAAUGCUGUUAAUAGCUGCAGUAUUUUGACUGUACAAAGGUAGCAUAAUCAUUAGUCUUUUUAUUGGAGGCUUGUAUGAACGGUUGAACAGAACAUUUUUAUUUACAUGUUAAUUUAAAUUUUAUGUAAAAAUGCAUAUGUGUUUAAAAGGGACGAUAAGACCCUAUAGAAUUUGAAAAUUAGAUUUUUUGUUGGGGUGACGAAAUAAACUUACUAUUCAUUAAGUGAGUGAUGAUCCUAAAGAGAAAAAGAUAAAAUUACCUUAGGGAUAACAGCAUAAUUUUUUUAGGAAGUUCAUAUUUAUGAAAGAGAUUAUGACCUCGAUGUUGAAUUGAUAGAAAUUCGGUGUAGUAGUGAGUUU